UACGGGGGGGGUAAGCGUUGUUCGGAAUUACUGGGCGUAAAGGGCUCGUAGGCGGCCAACUAAGUCAGACGUGAAAUCCCUCAGCUUAACUGGGGAACUGCGUCUGAUACUGGAUGGCUUGGAUCCGGAAGAGGGAUGCGGAAUUCCAGGUGUAGCGGUGAAAUGCGUAGAUAUCUGGAGGAACACCGGUGGCGAAGGCGACGUCCUGGACCGGCAUUGACGCUGAGGCGCGAAAGCAUGGGUAGCAAACAGG
rnacentral:rRNA from 1 species